CCCUUAGAUGUUCUGGGCCGCACGCGCGCUACACUGAUGAAUUCAACGAGCUCCUAACCUAGGCCGAAGGGUCCGGGUAAUCUUUGAAAUUUCAUCGUGAUGGGGAUAGAUUAUUGCAAUUAUUAAUCUUCAACGAGGAAUUCCUAGUAAACGCAAGUCAUCAGCUUGCAUUGAUUACGUCCCUGCCCUUUGUACACACCGCCCGUCGCACCUACCGAUUGAAUGGUCCGGUGAAAUCUCGGGACGGCGGCUUGGUCGCUUGCGUCCGACUGCUGAAACUUGAUUAAACCAUAUCAUUUAGAGGAAGGUGAANUCGUANCA
rnacentral:rRNA from 1 species